GACGUAGGAGGCGAGCGUUAUCCGGAUUCACUGGGCGUAAAGCGCAUGUAGGCGGAUGUCUAAGUCGUGUGUUAAAGCCCCCUGGCUCAACUGGGGGAGGUCAUGCGAGACUGGAUGACUUGAGGGCAACAGAGGCACGUGGAACUCCCGGUGUAGCGGUGGAAUGCGUAGAGAUCGGGAAGAACACCCGUGGCGAAGGCGGCGUGCUGGGUUGCAACUGACGCUGAGAUGCGAAAGUGUGGGGAGCAAACGGG
rnacentral:rRNA from 1 species